rnacentral:lncRNA from 1 species
GUAAGGAACCUUGGGGAACAUUCUCAAAAGAGCUGUGUAUUUCUAAAAUGUCUCCAUGUUCAAUGGACAGGACACCCAGAACAGAUGAGCUUAAGAGCACAGAGCCCAGGCAGAACAAGUGGUUCAAGCCUUCAAUUCCAGGAGGAUGGCAAGUUCAAGGCCUACCUGGGCUACAAGUUGAGCUCCAUUUGCUGGAAUUCUAUAGAGAGAAACGCACCAAGAACUUCUGGUGGUGUGCUGCAGUUUCUUGCCACUUCCGAGGAUCGGGCUGAUUGCAGAGUGAUGCCAGCUGAGACAGAAGUGUGUGCUGAUGCAAGAUCCCAGGAGAACACGUAAUGUUUGGAGGAUAUAAAUAGGACUCUACCAACAGUGAUGGAGGCUGAGCUAGGCUUGCGAUGCUUGUUGGUCUCUUGUCUUCGCUGAUCUUUGAUUCACCGAGAGAGGUACAGCUAAGAACUUCUUUUGGCAUUCCUCCUGGUCCCUCCUGCUGAGGCUGAGGCCAGGUUGUUUGUGCUAGGUCACGCCACCUCUGCUGAUUCAUGUUUGCUAUCCCAACUCUACUGAACUGGACUGCUGUCAUAUCCCUGAAGCGUUCGCAAAUGGAUCAAGCUGCCACUGCUAACCUGUGAACUAAACUGCCGAUUUCCAGACAACACAGACAAGAGUUGCUUCAAAGGACCUUUCUAAACAGGUCCAAUUCCUCUGUAUCCUUUCUUUCCCAAUACCUCUGGUGGGUGGUGGACGACAAGGGAGGUUAAAACAUUUAAGAACCAUCAUUAAAAAAAAUAGGUUUUGAAAACAUUAAAUUCUCAGGUGCCUCAUGCUAUGUUGUAGGAGCCAUUCCGGACUUCCUGGUCAGCAGGAUGGAAGUCUGUUCCAGGUAGUAAACAAGCCCAUGUUUGGCGGAUGGCCCGCCCUUAAUCCCUGAUUGGCUGAGCAAGCCUGCCUGGUGAGGUGAUGUGACCUGUGGUGAUUGGUGGGGGCGUGGUUGUGGCUGGAGUGGAAAAAAGCACUUGUAACUAGAGAGGCUGGGGGAUUUAAAAUAAGUAGCUGCCUGAGUAAACUACAUUAAGAAGAACCGGUGGUUGCGUCUUUCUUGCUGGUCGAGUGGGACACGACACAAUGUGUUUUCACACUUCACUAAUGCGAUGGCGUGUAUGGGUCUGGCUCAUUCAGAACCAAUGUGCAGCGAAGUCGCGUGAAACAACCUAGGUAAACAUUGUCAGAGGCAGCUCAGCCUGUUCCAUGUUUGGCUGUGUUCAUUUGGAAACCUUUUACAGCUGUUUCAGACGUGCGCUUUUCAUACCGUGCUUCCAUUAAGAGAUCUGUCUCUUUUCCAGUGCCAUGCAGAUGGGUUUGAGAACUGCAUGCAAGCAGGUAAACUUGGUGAGGCCUGUAGGAUAAACUGAUGGAGAAAGAGCAAACAGACAAGUAAAUAAAAGGGGUGAACCAAAAGUUAGGACUACGGUUCUGUGAAAAAAAAAAAAAAAAAGACAGCAGUCCUCAGUGUUUGAUGUCCAGGCUUCACCAAGAUGAAUCAAAACGAAGGAGGAAAAGACAUAAAAAAAGUGGGCAAGAUACACAGUCUCACCACAUAACCAAACUCGAUGUGAAUGCUCCGUGGACUUUUGUUACCUCCACCCCUCCGACCCCCGUCCCUUCCCACUCUGUAAUCUAGAUGGGUCUCAAACUCCCAAUACUUCUGCCCCAGUCUCUUGAAAGUGCAGUGAUUAUAGAUGUGUUCCUCCGUUCUCCACGCCCCUCUCCAGCAUCUUUAAAACCUGUUAAAAGUUUCCGUGUCUGAUUGUCUUGCCUGUGUAUAUAUGUAUGUGUACCACGUGUACACUGCUUCUGGUCUUUUAAAAAAAUUAUCUUAUGUGUGUGGGUGUUUACCCACGUGUAUGCCUGUGCACUGUGUACAUUCCUGCUACCCUCAAGGACCAGAGGUACCAGAUCCCUGGAACUGGAGUUACAGAUGCUUGGGAGACACCGUGUGGAUGCUGGGAAUAGAACCCAAAUCUUCUGGAAGAGCAGCCAGUGCUGUUAACCUGAGCCACCUCUCCAACCCAACUCAAUGGUCCUUUUCAAGACUAACUAGAAGAACAAAAUACUAUGGUUUAACAUUGUGUGUGUGUGUGUGUGUGUGUGUGUGUGUGUGUGUGGCGCUCGUGGGUGUGUUAGCUGGAAAAUACAGACAUGUGGAGGAGGUCAGAGGGCAAUGUAGGGAGUGAGUUCUCCCUUUCAACUCAAUGGGAUUUUGAAGACUAUUCCUAGGUUAUCUGGUUUGGCAGCAAGUGCCUUUACACACUGAACUAUCUCACCAGCCACAGAGCCAAAGUAGCAGACCCUUUUAAGCAGCUGCAAAUGGAGAAGUUUUACAAGUCAAAAAGGUGACAUGAAAAGGAGUUUUUACCCUCUUGAUUGGCAUAGAUUUCUAAAUAUUACUAUAAAAAUAUGUAUGUAUUACUAUAAAAA